AGCGAACGCUGGCGGUAGGCCUAACACAUGCAAGUCGAACGGCAGCACAGUAAGAGCUUGCUCUUACGGGUGGCGAGUGGCGGACGGGUGAGGAAUACAUCGGAAUCUACUUUUUCGUGGGGGCUAACGUAGGGAAACUUACGCUAAUACCGCAUACGACCUACGGGUGAAAGCAGGGGAUCUUCGGACCUUGCGCGAUUGAAUGAGCCGAUGUCGGUUUAGCUAGUUGGCGGGGUAAAGGCCCACCAAGGCGACUAUCCGUAGCGGGUCUGAGAGGAUGAAUCGCCACACGGGAACAGAGAAUGGUUCCAGACACCUACGGGGGGCCACGGUGGGGAAUAUUGGACGAGGGGGGCAAGCCUAAUCCUGCCAUACCGCGUAGGUGAAGAAGGCCUUCGGGUUGUAAAGCCCUUUUGUUGUGAGAGAAGUGCAGCAGGUUAAUACCCCGCUAUUCUGACGGUACCCAAAGAAUAAGCACCGGCUAACUUCGUG
rnacentral:rRNA from 1 species